rnacentral:tRNA from 2 species
GGGUUCAAGUCCCUCUAUCCCCAA